GUGCCAGCCGCCGCGGUAAUACCGGCAGCCCAAGUGAUGGCCGAUAUUAUUGGGCCUAAAGCGUUCGUAGCUGGCCAGACAAGUCUGUUGGGAAAUCCACGUGCCCAACACGUGGGCGUCCAGCGGAAACUGUCUGGCUUGGGGCCGGAAGACUCGAGGGGUACGUCCGGGGUAGGAGUGAAAUCCCGUAAUCCUGGACGGACCACUGAUGGCGAAAGCACUUCGAGAAAACGGAUCCGACAGUGAGGGACGAAAGCCAGGGUCUCCAACCGGAUUAGAUACCCGGGUAGUCC
rnacentral:rRNA from 1 species